rnacentral:rRNA from 1 species
UGGGGAAUAUUGGACAAUGGGCGAAAGCCUGAUCCAGCCAUGCCGCGUGAGUGAUGAAGGCCCUAGGGUUGUAAAGCUCUUUUGUGCGGGAAGAUAAUGACGGUACCGCAAGAAUAAGCCCCGGCUAACUUCGUGCCAGCAGCCGCGGUAAUACGAAGGGGGCUAGCGUUGCUCGGAAUCACUGGGCGUAAAGGGUGCGUAGGCGGGUUUCUAAGUCAGAGGUGAAAUCCUGGAGCUCAACUCCAGAACUGCCUUUGAUACUGGAAGUCUUGAGUUCGGGAGAGGUGAGUGGAACUGCGAGUGUAGAGGUGAAAUUCGUAGAUAUUCGCAAGAACACCAGUGGCGAAGGCGGCUCACUGGCCCGAUACUGACGCUGAGGCACGAAAGCGUGGGGAGCAAACA